rnacentral:ncRNA from 1 species
CAAGAGAUUACGGUCAGAUAGUACAAGUUUAAGGACUUAACUACAGAACAAAAUAUCUUGAGAGUUUUAAUCCUUGUCGCAAGAUCUAUCUUCGGCAAAAAACAUAAAUAGGCAAAGUCUAAUUAGUAACAAAAUGUGAGGAUUAGAUUUUGCC